UACACUAUAAGGAGAUUAGAUCAUAUUAUAUUUGUUACACGAAAAAGAAGAAAUAGUUAUGACUGAAAUUCUCAAAUUUAUAUUUGUUAUUAUUAUUCUAUUUCUUUCCAUAUCUCUUGUUUCAGCGGAUUUUGAUUUAGUACAUAAUGAUUCAUACGAUUACUUAUAUGAAUUUCAAGAAUGUGAAGUUGAUAACGAUUGUCCACAAGAUCCCUUACCUAUGAAGUGCAUUAAUUACAUUUGUGUUGUUCAUAAUGAAGAACCUUCAGACAAUCUCUAGAGAAUACACAAACUCCAUGAAAGGGAAUAAUAUGUUAUCUCAUUAGAAAAAGAUCUAUACAAUAUAUUUUAGGGAAAUGCUAACUUGUCCAUUAAGGCACAAGUUAAGAAGUUAAAGAUAGAAUUAUUUUUUUGAAAAUUGUGUAUUCUACAUUAGAAAACUUUAAACAUUUAAACUUUCAAUACAAAAUUUAUUUAUUGUU